CUUGGACCACUUUUGCAAAAAAGAUAGAAACUUUGGCCUUAUGCCAUUGCAUUUUCAAGCUCAUUUUCUUAAAUCAAACUUGUAAAUAAACUUAACUAUACUUGACUUAAACUUUCAAAAAAGCCAAAAAGAACUAACUCAUUCAAAUCAUUAUUAGGCCUUUGUGCCUUUCAAACUUGAAUUUUAUUAAAAGCAAUGCACUCAUUUU
rnacentral:lncRNA from 1 species